rnacentral:lncRNA from 1 species
AGGAUCAGGGCUGAUGAAAGGAUGGAGCGAUGAAGGGCAGCCCUCCUGCUGCGGGUCGCCCUGCUGCUGCCCUGGGCCUGCAGCUCCUGGCACGUGGGUCUCCGGGAGUCCUUGUGGAUGUGCCUCUCCAGGGCCCUCCAUCCUCGGUGGGCAGGAUAAUCCCCUAGGGAGCUUGCUCUCAAGUUCUCAAUAGCAUACACACGGCUGCCACAAAUACACAGAAGUUUUGGGAAUUAGCUCUGUGAGACAGGCCUAUUUCAGACAAGAAAAAUGAGGAUCAGAGAAGCUGAAAGUCUUGAGGAGGACACCCCAGCAAGGCGAAUUAGAGGCCCAGAAUUCUAACGAGGGCAUCCGGACUCUGGGAUUAGAACCGCCUUCUGCGUCCCAGGAAAAACCUCCUCUAGUCAUGCCCAGAUCUGCCUGGUCUAAAAACCACAAAAAUAGCAGGAGUUUCCACUGAGUCAAUGCUUGUCACGUCUAGAGACCUGGAUUGAGCUGUUUCCUUCCAUUCACAGAGCCGUCCUGCAGGAGAGAUGUUACUUUUACCAUCAAUGUAAAAACUGGGCCUUAAACUGCUUCAGAAACUGUUUAGAUUCAUUCAACUGAAUAUUCACACUGGAGUUUGAAUCAAGGCCUACGUGGCUUUAGAAAUUUAAGAUCCAAACCGUACCACUGUUGUACCUGACAUCCUUCGUGCACCUCCCUCAUCUUCAGAGAAACAAUUCUAAGUCUUCACUUUAAAGCAAGGUCGUGUGACUUUCCAAUGACUUCAGGGCAUUUGGUAAAGAACAGCUUGGUUCAAAGUAACUUGAUGAGCACAGCAAUUUCUUCAUAAUGGCAACCUGGUUAAAAAAAAUAAAAUAAACCCAUACCCGGCUUUGGGAAGGAAGUUGUUUGUUUUAAUGUUUUGUAUUUGGACUUGCAUCACAUAGAGUGGUGAUUUUUUUCAACAUUUUGUGUGUCACUUAACAUUUUUAAAAAUAAAGUCUUACAAGCUGUGAAACAAUGUGAACAUCCUGAUCCUAUCUCUGUAAAAUAUGAUGGGUGCACAAUGGCAGACGAGAGUGUGGAAAGUUACAUCUGACGGUGGCAACAGGAGCGGCCUCUGCAUGGGUGGAAUUAGAAGGAUUGUUGAUUUCAUUUAUUUAUUUGAAUAUACGAUAAAGAAAGUUCAAGUAGCACAGAUGGCUGCACAAUGAAGAGGAAUUUCACCUCUUACACUCAUUCUCAGUCCACUCGCCGAAGGCAAUUAUAUGGAUAUGUAUUCUUCCUGAAAUAUUCUUUUCAUACACAAUCGUGUAUAAAAUCGUGUAUGAAAAAAAGUCUGCUCAUCAUGUAGUGUGUG